GGUGGACUGGCUGAGUGGUCGAAAGCGACGGUCUUGAAAACCGUUGAACCGAAAGGUUCCUGGGGUUCGAAUCCCUAGUCCAUCGCCA
rnacentral:tRNA from 1 species